rnacentral:rRNA from 1 species
AUGGGUGGAACGAGAGGAAGGAUGGGAAUCAGCUACUUGCAUUCACACGGAGGAGGCAACGUCGACUCGAUGGCACAUCAGAGGAGGUUGGGCUCGUUGUGGAUCUUCUUGAGGCAGCAGGACGUCGGCAAGAGCAUCGCUGCUGGCAACGGCUCGAGUGACCUCUUGAGGAUCUUCUCCAUGAGCAUCUGGGACGACACCAACUCCAACAUCAUGUUCUCAGCGCCCGAUAGCAAGAAGGCCGAGGUGCUCAGUGACAGUGAUGUCAGUAUGGUCACCAGCUUCAGCAACAUCGACUCCCAGAUUCAGUUAGCCCUCUCGAGUUGGACAUGCCCAGGAUGGACGACUACCUGCAGCUGCAGCAGGACUCCGUCAACUACAGAGUCCAUGCCAAGCGUGGCUGCACCACUGACCCGCAGAGCAUCGCUUGGGAGGGAAAGAAGAACAAGGAUCAAUAAGAGGCUAAGGAGGCUACAAAGACCUCAUUCCCUACAUGGACAAGGUCACAAGUUUAUUCUACCAUGGAUUCCCUCUGGAUAUUCUGUGCCCCAAGCCCUACAGAAUAAUGCCCAGUCUAAUUUCAACAGUGGGCACGACAACAUCAAACUUCUCUCUUCAAUAUUGAAGAAGCGGCUUACUCGGAUCAAUGGGCAUGCACUUAGAAAAAUAGCUAAAGAGUACGUGAUAUUCCUAGAGUAA